ACUUUCGCCAUGAAUUUUGGUUUUCAUUGUUUUUUGUAAUGAAAUUAAAAGGGAAUCUAGUGAAAAUCUAGAGCUGUUCCCGCAACUGUAAGCUUAGUCUUUGUUUUAAAGAUGGCUGCUAUUUCUUCGGUACCACUGUUAUUAGUUUAAUGGGAAGGUGAAUAGUAGUACGUAAGUCAGGAGACCUGCCAUAUUUUUAAUUUAAAU
rnacentral:ncRNA from 2 species